rnacentral:rRNA from 1 species
UACAGAGGGGGCAAGCGUUGUUCGGAAUUACUGGGCGUAAAGGGCGCGUAGGCGGCCUGCUAAGUCGAACGUGAAAUCCCCGGGCUCAACCCGGGAACUGCGUCCGAUACUGGCAGGCUUGAAUCCGGGAGAGGGAUGUGGAAUUCCAGGUGUAGCGGUGAAAUGCGUAGAUAUCUGGAGGAACACCGGUGGCGAAGGCGGCAUCCUGGACCGGCAUUGACGCUGAUGAGCGAAAGCUAGGGGAGCAAACGGG